rnacentral:tRNA from 1 species
GCUAAUUUGCCCAAGAGGUUUAAGGGGAAGACUUAAGAUCUUUUGCACACAAGAAGUGCGCAUGGGUUCGAACCUCAUAGCCAACA